rnacentral:rRNA from 1 species
CCGAAUAGGGGAGCCGGAGGGAAACCGAGUCUUAAUUGGGCGUUAAGUUGCAGGGUAUAGACCCGAAACCCGGUGAUCUAGCCAUGGGCAGGUUGAAGGUUGGGUAACACUAACUGGAGGACCGAACCGACUAAUGUUGAAAAAUUAGCGGAUGACCUGUGGCUGGGGGUGAAAGGCCAAUCAAACCGGGAGAUAGCUGGUUCUCCCCGAAAGCUAUUUAGGUAGCGCCUCGUGAAUUCAUCUCCGGGGGUAGAGCACUGUUUCGGCUAGGGGGCCAUCCCGGCUUACCAACCCGAUGCAAACUGCGAAUACCGGAGAAUGUUAUCACGGGAGACACACGGCGGGUGCUAACGUCCGUCGUGAAGAGGGAAACAACCCAGACCGCCAGCUAAGGUCCCAAAGUCAUGGUUAAGUGGGAAACGAUGUGGGAAGGCCCAGACAGCCAGGAUGUUGGCUUAGAAGCAGCCAUCAUUUAAAGAAAGCGUAAUAGCUCACUGGUCGAGUCGGCCUGCGCGGAAGAUGUAACGGGGCUAAACCAUGCACCGAAGCUGCGGCAGCGACACUGUGUGUUGUUGGGUAGGGGAGCGUUCUGUAAGCCUGUGAAGGUGUGUCGUGAGGC